rnacentral:lncRNA from 1 species
UAACGUUCAUGUUUUAAUAAUCUGCAUUUGCUUUAUUUUAUUUUAUUUUGCAUAUAUCAAAUUUAUGUUCAAGGGGUGACACAAUUUAAGAUAUUUAGACUUUAAUUAACAAGGAAAAAUUACAUAUUAAUGUUGGAGGUUGAGUUAGUAACGUUAAGGUUAGUUGAAAAACCUUUAGUUUGCAAGGUGUCAAAGAUAUACUUAAGGUUUUUAACUUGCAAAGUCUCAUCUGCGUACAAUAACGGCAAGUCCAUUUUUCUAGCUGAAAUUAUACUUUAGCGAGCCAGGCAUCAAGGUCCAGCUUAAUGUACCACACGAAAGUAAAUAAAAAUAAAAAACAAAACAAAACAAACAAACAAAUUACAAAAAAUAUCAAGAAAACGAGUCGAGGAGGCCUCCGAAUCGCACAUACUUGAGAUGUGUGGUUUUUAUGAACACAUAUGAAGUAACAGGAAUACCUCCUUCACAAUACCAAACAAGGACCAAGUGCUACUUCUUUACAAGCAGGUCUAUGGAACAAUGUCUAUAGCUGCGAUUGGAAGCAGCACGUCUCGAGUUUCCAACUCUCGCGUAGGUAUCCCUGGAGAAAUGUGCCAAAAACCCAGAGCACUUCAAAAAUUCGCUGAGCUGUGGAUAACUCUGGACACAAGCAAACCACAUGACUUGACAAUACAAAAAUUCUUUGCAUCUUCCAGUGGAAAAAACAUUUCCGACAUAAAUUAAGAAGAAAUAACUGAUAAGCCCCUUACAAGUCCUAAAUGAACAUAUUAAGCACAACACGUGCUAAAUUCUUAAGAUUCCACAAGCGUUCCUCAAACGAAAAACAUUUAUCUACACUACGCGGCAUCUCAUAGUCCUGUGCAUACAACAAGGAAGCACUUAAAAGUACGAGAGGCAGACAUGUGAAAGCAUAUCUUUGCGGAAAGGAUUUUGACCGACCUCAUGGCGUCUGCCAAAGUCUAGUUGUGUGAGUGGUGAGGCCGGGAUGGAGGUGGCGGUGGAUUGCCAUGUGAUGCGUUAGCUGGUCCAUGACUUGCUGGUCCAGCAGGAGCCGAAUGUUCAGGGCCUGAGUCCCCGCCACCAAAUAGCCAUGGUAGACACAUGCUUCCCACUUACCUGCUCAUCAACAACCAACUCGUGUCUUCAAAGGAGCUAAUGAAAUUAAGCCUCAGGAAACUCACGGGUGCAAUAGGACACAUAUUUGUGCCCUCAAGGGCUGAACAGAAAAGAUUCGACGACAAUCAUAACCGGCUAACAUUGAAUUACAACUACGACCCUACCGUGAUCACGGCUCCGGCGCGAUAUCUUGGCCAGUCAGCUUGACGACUUCAUUUUCUCACAACGAGAUGUUAACAUGAUUGAUAGUAAAAGAUUUGCAACGAUUUUUCCUACCUAUGAUGGUCAGGAACGCAAAGAAUCUAACUCUAUACCUUACAACCAGUAACCGAGACGACCUUUCACGGCUAUGUUGCACUUUGCUUCAGCAAUACCACCAACCCUCGCGACAAUCUGAGACAAACCUCACAAAACUGCACAAAGUCACAAUACUAGAUCGAAUUGGGGAUACUGAUGACAGAAAGAGCCACUAUUAACCCUAAGCUCCAAUCUCUCAUCACUUUCUAAAACACAAAGUUCGAAUGAUUUCCACGACAUUCAAUCGACCAAAGACAUACUUUCAAAAUUGUUCACCAGGAAAUUGCACCAGAGAUCUCACGCAGACGCAAUACAGAGCCGUGAUAGAAAACAGGAGCUAGAAAUUUGAGUAACAUACUUGAUUAAUACAACCCUGUUAAGAUUAAAGCUCGCCACUGCUUCACUUGCUAACUUCCGAUCCAAUUCACAACGGGCUACACCGCAAGAACAAUCUCACCACUGAUUCAACAAAGGGCGUGUUGAGUCCCCUCCCCCUCAUCUGCUGAAUCCCAAUGCACCCAAGAGGCUGACACGUUGAUCCCCACGUGGUUGGAAGCAAUGAGACAAGGCCGCGAGAGAGACGACGAAGGAAAGAAAACUGCGGAAAGAAGCCGUGCCGCAAAGAAAUG